CUGGUAGUGGGGGAUAACGUUCCGAAAGGAACGCUAAUACCGCAUACGUCCUACGGGAGAAAGCAGGGGACCUUCGGGCCUUGCGCUAUCAGAUGAGCCUAGGUCGGAUUAGCUAGUUGGUGAGGUAAUGGCUCACCAAGGCGACGAUCCGUAACUGGUCUGAGAGGAUGAUCAGUCACACUGGAACUGAGACACGGUCCAGACUCCUACGGGAGGCAGCAGUGGGGAAUAUUGGACAAUGGGCGAAAGCCUGAUCCAGCCAUGCCGCGUGUGUGAAGAAGGUCUUCGGAUUGUAAAGCACUUUAAGUUGGGAGGAAGGGCAUUAACCUAAUACGUUAGUGUUUUGACGUUACCGACAGAAUAAGCACCGGCUAACUUCGUGCCAGCAGCCGCGGUAAUACGAAGGGUGCAAGCGUUAAUCGGAAUUACUGGGCGUAAAGCGCGCGUAGGUGGUUCGUUAAGUUGGAUGUGAAAGCCCCGGGCUCAACCUGGGAACUGCAU
rnacentral:rRNA from 1 species